UCUCAGAGUUGGGACACCAUGAG
rnacentral:miRNA from 1 species